rnacentral:rRNA from 1 species
CGUGUAGGCGGAGAUGCAAGUUGGGAGUGAAAUCCCGGGGCUCAACCCCGGAACUGCUCUCAAAACUGUAUCCCUUGAGUAUCGGAGAGGCAAGCGGAAUUCCUAGUGUAGCGGUGAAAUGCGUAGAUAUUAGGAGGAACACCAGUGGCGAAGGCGGCUUGCUGGACGACAACUGACGCUGAGGCGCGAAAGCGUGGGGAGCAAACAG